rnacentral:misc_RNA from 1 species
GGUUUGGUGAAGCACGCACUACCCAGAAACAAGCACAUUCGUUGUAAAAUGUUUCCCACCCUUCAGAUUUUUUAUCGCAAUAUUAAGAAAGACAUAGAAUUUAUUAUUUAUUUUUUUCAUAAACAAUACACUGUAUUUUAUUUGACAUUUCAUAGAUAUUUAUUUGUUUUUAAUUUAUUACUUUAUAUUUGUAAAAAAGAAGAAAAAAAACAUUUUGCAACAUCAAACUGUCCAAUAAUUAAUCUUUUGCACUGGUGUUGACUUAAACACACACGUGUAGAACAGUUCCGUCCGACAUUUGCUCACUGUUGAGAGACGCUGUAGGAUUCAGUCGGUGGCCAUCAGUAUUGACUAGCUUACCUGUUGCUUUCUGUUAUUGUAUACAAUGUGAUGAGGAGAUCUAAGUACCAUUAUCAUGAAAUAAACAGUUGCAAACACU